GCUUAAAACCUACCAACCAGAACACGCACAAUCUCGUCUGAUCUCGGAAGCCAAGCUGGCUUUGAGAAGGCUUUGAUGCGAGACCACCUGGGAAUACUAGCUGCUGUAAACU
ensembl:rRNA 5S_rRNA 5S ribosomal RNA